ensembl:lncRNA
UUUUCAUUAGGCACCAAAUCAAGGAAAAUUAGCACAAACAAUGGUGGACCAAUAAUGAACAACCAAUCUUGCAGAAUGCUUAAAAUGGUUUGGCCCAAGGGAUUCUUCUUGUAUAAACACAGGAAACAUGGAGUCAUUGAGAAAACACAGGCUCACCUCGCAACUCCUAGCUCCAGCUGACUCCCUCUGUAUCCUCCUGCUGAUCCUGUCCCUGGCAGGCCUGGGCAGCUCUACUCCCAUUGACAGUCCCAGUCCCCAUCUGCUUUGUAAUGUCUGCCCUCUACAGCACAAAGAAAGGUGUUGCUGUAGGAACAGAUGUAACCAUCCACUGGCCCCAGAGAUGCAUACAGAGAGGCUGUCAGGAGGGAUGACGGAGCCCAGUGAGGUGCCUCCUAUGACGAACGACCCUCUGGACAGAUGUCCUGGAGAUUGACAUCUCCACGACCACGCUGUCACAUUCCCAUGUAUAACCGUAUCCUCUGAGACCUCCAGGAGUGGCUAGAGACUACUACUGAGAUCUGUCACUGGGGACAGGUCUAUUGGCAACUGACUUUCCACAGUCUCACACAAGGGAUGAUGCCCAUUUUAAUUGUUUAGGUUAAAUUGUGAAAUUGCCUAUUUAUUCACAUUUUCAAAAUGGUUUGCUGUUACUUAGUCAUGGUUCCCAGUGCUGGAAAAUGUAGCCAAUAAAAUUAUUUUGUUUGCAUUCCUGUCCUUUUAUUAGUGUGCCCUUUCUGGAGUCUGAAGACAUGAACAGUGCCACUGUUAGACAUGGGUUCCUUGUCAUUUAUCUCUGCUGGAUCACAUUUUUCAAAUUUGAUUUGUAGUAUUGAUCAUAAUUGAGGCAUGGUGGAAUAAAUCAUUUGAUCU